rnacentral:rRNA from 1 species
GCAUAUCAAUAAGCGGAGGAAAAGAAACCAACAGGGAUUCCCCUAGUAACGGCGAGUGAAGCGGGAACAGCUCAAAUUUGAAAUCUGGCCCUUGGGUCCGAGUUGUAAUUUGUAGAGGAUGCUUUUGGUGCGGUGCCUUCCGAGUUCCCUGGAACGGGACGCCUUAGAGGGUGAGAGCCCCGUACGGUUGGACGCCUAGCCUCUGUAAAGCUCCUUCGACGAGUCGAGUAGUUUGGGAAUGCUGCUCUAAAUGGGAGGUAUAUUUCUUCUAAAGCUAAAUACCGGCCAGAGACCGAUAGCGCACAAGUAGAGUGAUCGAAAGAUGAAAAGCACUUUGAAAAGAGGGUUAAAUAGCACGUGAAAUUGUUGAAAGGGAAGCGUUUAUCACCAGACUUUUUCUAGGGGGAUCAUCCGGGGUUCUCUCCGGUGCACUUCCCCUAGUUGAGGCCAGCAUCGGUUUUCGGAGGGGGAUAAAAGCUUCGGGAAUGUGACUCCCUCGGGAGUGUUAUAGCCCGUUGCAUAAUACCCUUCUGGGGACCGAGGUUCGCGCAUCUGCAAGGAUGCUGGCAUAAUGGUGAUCAACGACCCGUCUUGAAACACGGACCAAGGAGUCGAACAUUUAUGCGAGUGUUUGGGUGUUAAACCCUCACGCGUAAUGAAAGUGAACGGAGGUGAGAGCCCUUACGGGUGCAUCAUCGACCGAUCCUGAUGUCUUCGGAUGGAUUUGAGUAAGAGCAUAACUGUUCGGACCCGAAAGAUGGUGAACUAUGCGUGGAUAGGGUGAAGCCAGGAGAAAUCCUGGUGGAGGCUCGCAGCGGUUCUGACGUGCAAAUCGAUCGUCAAAUCUGCGCAUGGGGGCGAAAGACUAAUCGAACCAUCUAGUAGCUGGUUACCGCCGA